rnacentral:tRNA from 1 species
AGGCCUCUCGGCGGGCGGCGCGUCCAGCGCCCUGACCAGGCGCUCCAGGUCGUGCAUGAGCUGCUCGGUGCGUUCCGUGCCGAACGCGGCCUC